rnacentral:tRNA from 3 species
GGGGUGGUAGCUCAGUUGGUUAGAGCGCCUGCCUGUCACGCAGGAGGUCGCGGGUUCAAAUCCCGUCCAUCCCGCCA